CCGAAAUUGAUCGUAAUAAAGAAACUAUCUCAAGAGAAGUUACUUUACAGCUUGCACAGUAAUCUACAGCUUUCUUUCCACACUUUCUGGAGUCCAACGACAGAUUGGGUCUCGGCAGGUUCCCGAAUUAAGUCUCAGGAUUGGGUCUUGGCGUGCUCCCGAAUCAAGAUCAUCUGAUGCCGUUUGAAACUCAAAAAGCAGUAUUUGCGCUAACAUUUGUGCAUUCUUGCGUAUUUGAUGAUGUUCCGGACCUUUGCUUCAGG